rnacentral:lncRNA from 1 species
UCGAAAAUUGUCACUGCGAGUGUGUGAGUGAACAACUUUAUUGAACGAUCCGGCAAAACAAGGAGAGGGGAAUGGGGUGGUGGAGACUCUUGCGUGCAUGCGAGCCUCUCAGCCGCGAAGGAAGCCCCUCGCGCUGCGAGGGUGGCAUGUC